AUUAAAAUGAAAAUUUAUUAUGGCAAAUAUUUUGAAGGUUUAAGUUGGACAAAAUUUAAUUUUGGAAUCUAUUUAAAUAUUUUUAAAAGUUCAGGAUUUAAUGCCUUAUGAUAUGAAAGUUGAGGGACACUUUUUGCAAAUAUGAGUUAGUGAUCCACUAACUUGGCAAUAAACCCAUUUCUUGAGAAACCCAGCUGAGGAAUCUGGCAGCAAAGAAAAUUCGAGGGAAAAAAAACGACGAGAAAAGGAAAUGGAAAGAAAAAGAGGGAAGGAAAAUUAAGUUAUGUUCUUCAAUUUCUUCAUGUCUCAAGAGAGGUAAGGAAGCAAAUUGUUUAUGGUAUAAUUUUUAUUAAAUUUUCUAGGGUUCUAAAUUGUUAAUUUAGUUUCUAGAUUAUGUGAAAGGGAUAUUGUUUUAGCUCAAGUUCUUUAACUGAUUAUUUGCUGCUUGUUUUAAGGCAAAUAACUCUAUUCUUAGUAAACCCUAGAAUUUAUAAUUUAGUUUUUGAGUAAGUAUAAAUUGGGGAAAUGAUUAUUUGAUGGAAACAAUUACUUGGAAGGAUGAAGUUGGGGAAUAAGAUGAAAAAUUAAAUUAGUUGAAUUGUUGGUGGCUAGUUUGGAGUUAGCUCAAAUUGAUUAAAGGAAAUUGGGAAAAUUUAUUCAAUUACAGAGAAAUUGAGUUUUAGUAUUCUUCUACUGAUGAUUUCCUUUUUUAUUUUAUAGAAGCAUAUUAAUUACGUGAAAUGUCUUAUUUUCGAGAAAUUAGUAAAUGAGCAUGAUUAUUUUGAAAUUAUUAGAAAAUAACUGAUGUAAUUACCUUAAUCUUGUACACUGAGGGACAACGGCCGUGUACUAGAGUCAUGUAUUUAACUCCUAUGCAUUGAUAGGCUACAACCGUGUAUAAGGAUGAUUAUAUUGUUUCCAUCCCGUACAUUGAAGGGUUACGAUCGUUUACUAGAGUCAUGUAUUUAACUCCUAUAUACUGAGUGGCUACAGCCGUGUGUAAGGGUAAUUUUUAUCCACUGAGGGGCUAUGACCUUAUGUAAGGGUACCUAUUAUACACUGAGGGGCUAUAUUCGUGUAUAAGGAUGAUUAUGUUGUUUCCAUCUUGUACACCGAGGGGCUACGGCCGUGUACAAAGUGUUGAUCAGACGGUUUAUGUGUAUACGACUUUAUAGCUUUCAGAUCAUCAGUAAAUGUUUACAUGAAGUAUAUUUUGAUAUGAAUUUUAUGUAUAUAGUGGAUUAUUAGCCUACAGCUUACAUUUCUCCGUUUACAGUUCAGCUUAUGGAGUUCAGAUUAUAGAAUUCAAUUUGUUCAGUUUUCAGAAUGAAGCUUCCAAUUUAUAGUAUUCAGCAACAACAUUAUUUCACAGAUUUUCAUGGAUGUCAGAUUAUUUAUAUUCGUUAUAUUUACAGUUAUUGAACUAGAAUGAAAAAUAAAGAAUUUUAUGAUCCAAUUAUGUCAGUUUUAAAAGUGUCACUAGAUUUCUGAAUUUCUCAAAGUUUUAAUAGAGCAAGAAUUAUGCACAAAUGAAAAUGUAUACUUAUUUUCAAUUUAUUCACUCAAUGAGUUACAAACUCAUAUUCUGUUACCCUUUUCUUAGCAGAUAGCAGCUAUGUUGAGUAGCCUUGGAGCCUGUCGAUCCACCAAGAGUGACACACACACAUUGUCAUUAGAUGUAUGACUCAUUUCGUAAAUUUAUAUAGUUCAAAUUUCUUUUAGGAUACAUGUAUGUUUUGACAGAAACGUUACUUGGUAAUUUAUAGAUCCAUAUCAUGAGCUUACUGCAUAUUUAGUAUUCUCAUUGCUUUUGGAGUCUUUUGUUUAUAAAGCAUGGUAAAUGUCUUAAAUAGUUUGUAUUUUGAAGGACUAGCAUGUUAUACUUUAAAUUAUAUGUGUAGUUUUGAUAAAGUUGAUAUUUGCUCAGGUAAUUUAGUCCAUAUUUUAAAGGAAAUUCUGUUAAAAUUUUUAUACAAAUAUGCCAUAGUCAAAAUAGGUUAAGUUUGCCUUGGUGGUGGGGUCCAGCACUUAGCUGGUACCUACCAUCGGCGCAUGACACGUGUCGAGUCUAUUAGGGUGAUUCGGGACGGGUCGUGUCAAAUUAGGCCAAUUGCUUCUUGUAACAUGUGGCUCAUAUAGAGUGGAACACAGGUCCUGGAUCAAAUGGGCAGUUGUCGGUGCGGAGCGAAGCAACGACAUCGACCUUGCGUGGGUUUGAUUCACUGUCUGGUUGUUAGGGACGCUGAAUGGGUUGGGGGUGCGGAGACAACACUCCUGCGGUACGGUACGUGAGUAUUUCUUGUACGGACCUUAAAGUCUUAUAUAGGCCCAUGCUAGAG
rnacentral:lncRNA from 1 species